rnacentral:rRNA from 1 species
GGAGAUGAGGUGCUUGCACCUUAUCUUAGCGGCGGACGGGUGAGUAAUGUUUAGGAAUCUGCCUAUUAGUGGGGGACAACAUUCCGAAAGGGAUGCUAAUACCGCAUACGUCCUACGGGAGAAAGCAGGGGAUCUUCGGACCUUGCGCUAAUAGAUGAGCCUAAGUCGGAUUAGCUAGUUGGUGGGGUAAAGGCCUACCAAGGCGACGAUCUGUAGCGGGUCUGAGAGGAUGAUCCGCCACACUGGGACUGAGACACGGCCCAGACUCCUACGGGAGGCAGCAGUGGGGAAUAUUGGACAAUGGGGGGAACCCUGAUCCAGCCAUGCCGCGUGUGUGAAGAAGGCCUUAUGGUUGUAAAGCACUUUAAGCGAGGAGGAGGCUACUGAGACUAAUACUCUUGGAUAGUGGACGUUACUCGCAGAAUAAGCACCGGCUAACUCUGUGCCAGCAGCCGCGGUAAUACAGAGGGCGCGAGCGUUAAUCGGAUUUACUGGGCGUAAAGCGUGCGUAGGCGGCUUUUUAAGUCGGAUGUGAAAUCCCCGGGCUUAACUUGGGAAUUGCAUUCGAUACUGGGAAGCUAGAGUAUGGGAGAGGAUGGUAGAAUUCCAGGUGUAGCGGUGAAAUGCGUAGAGAUCUGGAGGAAUACCGAUGGCGAAGGCAGCCAUCUGGCCUAAUACUGACGCUGAGGUACGAAAGCAUGGGGAGCAAACAGGAUUAGAUACCCUGGUAGUCCAUGCCGUAAACGAUGUCUACUAGCCGUUGGGGCCUUUGAGGCUUUAGUGGCGCAGCUAACGCGAUAAGUAGACCGCCUGGGGAGUACGGUCGCAAGACUAAAACUCAAAUGAAUUGACGGGGGCCCGCACAAGCGGUGGAGCAUGUGGUUUAAUUCGAUGCAACGCGAAGAACUUACCUGGCCUUGACAUACUAGAAACUUUCCAGAGAUGGAUUGGUGCCUUCGGGAUCUAGAUACAGGUGCUGCAUGGCUGUCGUCAGCUCGUGUC